GGGGUUGUAGCUCAGUUGGUAGAGCGUCUCGUUCGCAACGAGAAAGUCGGGAGUUCGAUUCUCCUCUUCUCCACCA
rnacentral:tRNA from 1 species